CCAUAGCUGAAGACCUGGUAUUGAAGCUGGGUUUAAAAUAAUAGAAGAUAUGUUUGUGAGUAUAAAGAACUUACAGAUUUGGUACACAUCUUGCAUUAGAUACCAUGACAUUGUGUCAGGUGAAGUCAGACUGGAAAGUCUCUGGAGUAUUAAUAUUUAUGAUUGAAAAAGCAUGGCUCUGUACAGAACUGAGUUCUCACGACCUCAUCUUUCACUGUUUUGCAGGUGGCACUUUGUAUUCAGCAGAGAGAUUGCACAAUUUCAGCAGCUGUUUUCCCUAUUUCAAAAAGUGUAUUGAAGAACUAAAGUGGGAUCCAGGAAAGAUACUGUGGAGUUUUUUAAUAAACAAAGAGUGGAUAAAGACCAAAGAGCAUUGAUAUGGUGUGAAGGCACAGUAGUGCACAAACUUCUGGAUGUUGGCUGGGUGUUUCAUCUAUCUUCACAAGUAACACCUUUGCUGGAACUGUAGAUCUCUCCUUGAACAUGGACCAUCAGUUCUCCUCAGGAAACUGACUAUCCUUUGCUACAGCAUGCCAUUUUGGAAAACUGUAGGUGUAGCAAUCUCCAGUGACAGUGUGAUGAUGGAAGACUGGGAACCAUUGUACCAUUGGCUGCCACGGGGUAUAUCUGUUCUCCUUCCUGCUCUCUAGUGCUGUGGAUUGAUAGCACCAGUCGUGCCUGCCUAUGCCAGCUGAAGAACUUACUGCUUCUCUUCUGAAUGCAACUAGACUGUAGAUCUAUGUAGAUUCACUCUCAGAACAAAGAUUCCUUUGGUGUGUGUAGCACCCUAACAGAGAGCACCAUAUCCAGAAGCAGAAGGAACAACUAUGCAAGGGAGCGGAUUCAUCAGAGGUCAGGCAGGAACAUUUCUUGUAGAUGACUAAUGAUAUGCAUGAGUCUGUAGCACGGCACCAAUGAACGUACUUGGAAAGCAGACACCCUGCAAUAAUCACACUGAAAAGGAUUACUGGAGUCAUUUUGCCAGAGACUGGACUAGCAACAUCUGAGUUAACUCAACUGUAUAGCUAAGUCAGUUUUUAUUUCUUUUCCCCAUGCUACAUGCUGUUGUAAUCCAUAUGUAAUGAUUAAAGGCUAGUGAAGUGUUACUUCACUCUUCCUGAGCAUACUGAAGCUUUCUCUUUAAAUGGAAUAACCAUGUCUACAGUGGUUGUUUUGCUCAAAACAGUGUCUCAGCUGUGCACACCUUGUUCUCCUCAUGUUUGUACCUUUCUUGGAUCAACUAGAUGUUGUUGAAUCCUGUUGUAAUGGUUUUGUAAUGUAAUUGUUUUCCCGAGAUGUCUGUCUCACCUCUCCACUGAUUGUCCUGUUCAAAACAAUCAGUAAAAAAGAGUGUUUGCCUGCUGCAAGACAUUAUCCCACCGUUUUGGUCAAACCUAUAGUUGUAGACACUUUAAAAGCUUGACCUUUUUUUUUUUGUUUGAUUUUUGAAUUUAUUUAGUGACUUUUGUUUGUUUAUUCUUGCAAGUCUUUUCCAAGGACAGUAGUCUCCCAGAAGCUGAUAGGAUAGUCACUUUGGAGAGCCAUGCCUAAAAUAAUUAAAACGAGAUUUAACAUAAUUUUUUCUGCUA